rnacentral:misc_RNA from 1 species
UUUCCGUAGGUGAACCUGCGGAAGGAUCAUUCAUAAUAAAGUGUUUUAUGGCACUUUUUAAAAAUCCAUAUCCACCUUGUGUGCAAUGUUAGAUCUCGUCAAUCUUGGCGAGAUUUUUAUACAUCAACUCAUUCUUAACUAAUUUGUCUGAAAAAUAUUAUGAAUACUUAAUUCAAAAUACAACUUUCAACAACGGAUCUCUUGGCUCUC